GGUCGCCAGCCGGUGGGGGAGCGAAUGAGCUGGGCGGGGGGGUGUCAGUCACGGCGGCGCGCGGCGGUGGCUGGGUGGAGAAGAAGAAAACGCACGGGGAAGAGGGAGAGAGGGACGUCACGCGCGGGAGAGGGAAGAGGGAGAGGAGAAAAGAAA